AAGUCGAACAACGGUUCUCCGUUGGUGAACCAGCGGAGGGAUCAUUGCAGGCACGCCGCCCCAGCCGCAGACCCUGAAACCCAUUUGCAUUAUCUUACUUGCUCGGCGUCGUGUUCCGCUCGGGCCCCUCACCUGCGGUGUUGAGAGGCCCGCGGGGCCAACCUAACUCUUGUUUUUACACUGAAACUCGAGAAUAAAAUCAUAAAUGAACAAAA
rnacentral:misc_RNA from 1 species